rnacentral:rRNA from 1 species
UCGGCCAGCCACAGCUCCAAGAAUACGCGGAGGAGGUGGCCUGGGUCGGCGUCGGCGCCGUCCGGCGCGGGCCACGGGCCCGCUUCCAAGUGCGUCUGCGCUCCGGCCACCCACGCUGGGUCCUUCAAGUGCCGCUUCCACCGCACCAACUCCCAGGGCCACGGCCACGGCCAGGGCCAGGGAAGCCACCCUUCUUCGCCCCCUUCACCGGCCGCGGCCGACGCGGUGCCGCGGCACCCGGCCUCACCGUCCUCGUCCUCCGGCACCGUCGCGACCCAGUGA